AGCUAACACAGCACUUUCAGAAUUUUGUCUAGCAGGUUUUCUGACCAAAGUCAGAAAACCCAU
ensembl:snRNA LOC120098343 U7 small nuclear RNA